rnacentral:lncRNA from 1 species
CUUUUUUUCAUUGAAAAAUUGCCCCAUAUUUUAAAGAGGCACAUUUUUAUUCAACAUUGUUAAAUCACCCCAAAAACCCAGGUGUUUAAAACUUAAAGUUUGAAAAUCUGUAUCAUCUGCAAAGGGGUUAACAUAAACUGGAGAAUCUGUAGCAUCCUAAAGUGGGUUGAGGCUUACUGUUGCUGACGAGCACAUGAAGAAAAGAAAAUGUGUAGAUCUUUCAGUACUCAGAAAAAAGAGGUUAAAGGGGGUGUCAUCUUAGGGGAAACAUAGCUGUAUGUUAGAUUUUUACAUGUUUGAUAAGCUGUUGAUCUUAUUAACCCAUUAUCAAUGUCU